ACGGGGUGCAGCAGGCGCGAAAACUUUGCAUGCACGAAAGUGUGACAAGGGAACUCCAAGUGCUUAUACAACGUAUAGGCUUUUGCCAAAUGUAAAUAGUUUGGCGAAUAAGUGGUGGGUAAGACGGGUGCCAGCAGCCGCGGUAACACCUGCGCCACAAGUGGCAGCCGAUAUUAUUUGGCCUAAAGCGUCCGUAGCUGGUUUGGAAAAUCUCUUGUGAAAGUGCCAGGCUCAACCUGACGAAUGGCAGGAGACACUCCUAAACUCGGAACCGGUAGGAGUCAGAAGUAUGCUAGGGGUAACGGCAAAAUAAUCUCACUACGUUCGAAACUGUAAAGAACGGAGUGGACUUUACAGUGUUAUAAUCCCUAGUAGACUACCUGUGGCGAAGGCGUCUGACUAGGACGGAUUCGACAGUGAGGGACGAAAGCUAGGGGAGCGAUCCGGAUUAGAUAUCGGGGUUUCUGUGUAAAAUCUUUGUCUGAUUGCAAACAAUUACUGGACAAAGAAUAAUUGAUCAGGGACAUCAACCCGACUAAUUACCCGAGUAGUCCUAGCUGUAAACACUGCGAGCAAGGUGUUGCAUAUUCCUCGGGAAUGUGCAGUAUCGAAGAGAAGUCGUUAAGCUCGCCGCCUGGGAAGUAUGGUCGCAAGACCGAAACUUAAAGGAAUUGGCGGGGGAGCAC
rnacentral:rRNA from 1 species